rnacentral:lncRNA from 1 species
GGAAAAAUGAAUGGAAAAUGGAUGGGAAAAUGGAUGGAAAAAGAAGGGGAAAACGAAUGGGAAAAUGAAUGGAAAAAUGAAUGGAAAAAUAAGGGGGAAAUGGAUGAAAAAAAUAAGGGGAAAAUAAGGAAAAAUGGAUGUAAAAAUAAGGGGAAAAUGAAUGGGAAAAUGGAUGGAAAACUAAGGGGAAAAUAAGGAAAAAUGGAUGUUAAAAUAAGGGAAAAAUGAAUGGGAAAAUGGAUGGGAAAAUAAGGGGAAAAUGAAUGGAAAAAUAAGGGGAAAAUGGAUGGGGAAAUAGGGGGAAAAUGGAUGGAAAAAUAAGGAAAAAACAAGGGAAAAAUGGAUGGAAAACUAAGGGGACAAUGGAUGGAAAAAUAAGGGAGAAAUAAAUGGAAAAACAGGGGGAAAAUGAAUGGAAAAAUAAGGGGAAAAUGGAUGGAAAAAUAAGGGGAAAAUGAAUGGGAAAAUAGGGGGGAAANAUCUGGAUCUGAACCCCCUGAAAGGAGCAUCAUUCCAGAAGCAUCAGACCCUUUUUCCAUGGGGAAAUCCCAAUCCCAAAUCUGGAUCUGAACCCACUGAAAGGAGCUUCCCUACAGGGGGGAUCAGACCCUUUUUCCAUGGGGAAAUACCAAAUUCGAUCCCAAAUUCGGGUCUGAACCCCUUGGGAGGAGCAUCCUUACAGGGGGAUCAGACCCUUUUAACAUGGGGAAAUCUCAAUCCUGACCCCAAAUCCGGGUCUGAAUUCCCUGGGAGGAGCAACCUUUCAUGGGGAUCAGACCCUUUUAACAUGUGGAAAUCCCAAUCCCAAAUCUGGAUCUGAACCCUGUGGGACGAGUAUCCUUCCAUGGGGAUCAGACCCUUUUUCCAUGGGGAAAUUCCAAUCCCGAAUCUGGAUCUGAACCCACUGAAAGGAACUUCCCUACAGGGGGAUCAGACCCUUUUCCCAUGGAGAAAUCCCAAUCCCAAUCCCAAAUCCGGGUCUGAACCCCCUGGGAGGAUCAUCCUUACAGGGGGAUCAGAAUUAACAGGGGAGAAACCCUAAAAGAGAGAAACCCCCCUUGGGAUCAGAGGGAAAUCCCUGAGGAACAGAGGGAUCCCAAACCUUCCUCCCAAACCCCUGGAUCAGGGCAGGGUGGGGAAAAUCCCGGAGCUGUCACUCCCCGAGCUCAGACACCCCAAUGAAAACCCCAAACCCAAUCCCAGAGCCACGUCGGAAUUCCCUAAAAAUCCCAAAUCCCCCCCAAAAAUUCCCCAACUCAGCCCCUCGGGUGGUUGAGUUUGAGGAUUGAAGGGGCAGCUGAGCUUUUGGGGGGCUCACCCCGACCCUCUGCGUCGUUCCUGCAUGCAAAGACCAUUUUUUAAAAACAAAAAAACCCAAAAAAAUCCCAUAAAUUCACCAGCAUGAACUGUCAACCCCAAAGCCAUCAAUAAAAACUUUGCAGUGCCCGCA